UUAAGUGACUAAGCGUACAAGGUGGAUGCCUUGGCAAUCAGAGGCGAAGAAGGACGUGCUAAUCUGCGAAAAGCUUGGAUGAGUCGAUAAGAGGCGUUUAAUCCAAGAUAUCCGAAUGGGGAAACCCAGUAGAUGAAGAAUCUACUAUCAACAAGUGAAUUCAUAGCUUGUUGAGGCAAACCGGGAGAACUGAAACAUCUAAGUACCCCGAGGAAAAGAAAUCAACCGAGAUUUCGUCAGUAGCGGCGAGCGAAAGCGAAAGAGCCAGUAAGUGAUAGCAGUAUAGUGAGGAGAAUGUGUUGGGAAGCACAAUCAAAGAGGGUGAUAAUCCCGUAUCUAAAAACCAUAUUGUGGUACUAAGCUAACGAGAAGUAGGGCGGGACACGUGAUAUCCUGUUUGAAGAAGGGGGGACCAUCCUCCAAGGCUAAAUACUCCUGAUUGACCGAUAGUGAACCAGUACUGUGAAGGAAAGGCGAAAAGAACCCCGGUGAGGGGAGUGAAAUAGAACCUGAAACCUUGUACGUACAAGCAGUGGGAGCCCCAUCACUUAAUCCGAUUGGAAGGUGAUGAAAAGCAACCGCACUUAAACAAUGGUAAGAGGAGCGAAGCGAGUCAAACCACCCAAAAGAAGCAGUGGGAUUAAGUGAUGGGGUGACUGCGUACCUUUUGUAUAAUGGGUCAGCGACUUAUAUUUUGUAGCGAGGUUAACCGAAUAGGGGAGCCGAAGGGAAACCGAGUCUUAACUGGGCGAAUAGUUGCAAGGUAUAGACCCGAAACCCGGUGAUCUAGCCAUGGGCAGGUUGAAGGUUGGGUAACACUAACUGGAGGACCGAACCGACUAAUGUUGAAAAAUUAGCGGAUGACUUGUGGCUGGGGGUGAAAGGCCAAUCAAACCGGGAGAUAGCUGGUUCUCCCCGAAAUCUAUUUAGGUAGAGCCUUGAGGUGACACCUUUGGGGGUAGAGCACUGUUUCGGCUAGGGGGCCAUCCCGGCUUACCAACCCGAUGCAAACUACGAAUACCAAAGAGUGAUACUCAGGAGACACACGGCGGGUGCUAACGUCCGUCGUGGAGAGGGAAACAACCCAGACCGCCAGCUAAGGUCCCCAAGUCUAUAUUAAGUGGGAAACGAAGUGGGAAGGCUUAGACAGCUAGGAUGUUGGCUUAGAAGCAGCCAUCAUUUAAAGAAAGCGUAAUAGCUCACUAGUCGAGUCGGCCUGCGCGGAAGAUGUAACGGGGCUGAAAUAUAGCACCGAAGCUGCGGCAUCAGAAUUUAUUCUGUUGGGUAGGGGAGCGUUGUGUAAGCGGAAGAAGGUUCAUCGAGAGGUGGGCUGGACGUAUCACAAGUGCGAAUGCUGACAUAAGUAACGAUAAAACGGGUGAAAAACCCGUUCGCCGGAAGACCAAGGGUUCCUGUCCAACGUUAAUCGGGGCAGGGUGAGUCGGCUCCUAAGGCGAGGCUGAAAAGUGUAGUCGAUGGGAAACAGGUUAAUAUUCCUGUACUUGGUAAAGCUGCGAUGUGGGGACGGAGUAGGUUAGGUUAUCGCACUGUUGGAUAUGUGCGUUUAAGUUGGUAGGUGGGAAGUUUAGGCAAAUCCGGGCUUCCUUAACACAGAGAGAUGAUGACGAGGCUCUACGGAGCUGAAGUAACUGAUACCACACUUCCAGGAAAAGCCACUAAGCGAAAGGCUUUACUAAACCGUACUGAAAACCGACACAGGUGGUCAGGUAGAGAAUACUCAGGCGCUUGAGAGAACUCGGGUGAAGGAACUAGGCAAAAUAGCACCGUAACUUCGGGAGAAGGUGCGCCGGCGUAGAUUGUAAGGGCUAGCCCCUGAAGGUUGAACCGGUCGAAGAUACCAGCUGGCUGCAACUGUUUAUUAAAAACACAGCACUCUGCAAACACGAAAGUGGACGUAUAGGGUGUGAUGCCUGCCCGGUGCUGGAAGGUUAAUUGAUGGUGUAAUCGCAAGAGAAGCACCUGAUCGAAGCCCCAGUAAACGGCGGCCGUAACUAUAACGGUCCUAAGGUAGCGAAAUUCCUUGUCGGGUAAGUUCCGACCUGCACGAAUGGCAUAAUGAUGGCCAGGCUGUCUCCACCCGAGACUCAGUGAAAUUGAAAUCGCCGUGAAGAUGCGGUGUACCCGCGGCUAGACGGAAAGACCCCGUGAACCUUUACUAUAGCUUGACACUGAACAUUGAAUUUUGAUGUGUAGGAUAGGUGGGAGCCUUUGAAGCAGUGACGCCAGCCAUUGUGGAGGCGACCUUGAAAUACCACCCUUUAACGUUUGAUGUUCUAACGAAGAUGACGAAACGUGGUCUCGGACAGUGUCUGGUGGGUAGUUUGACUGGGGCGGUCUCCUCCCAAAGCGUAACGGAGGAGCACGAAGGUUUGCUAAUCACGGUCGGACAUCGUGAGGUUAGUGCAAUGGUAUAAGCAAGCUUAACUGCGAGACAGACAAGUCGAGCAGGUACGAAAGUAGGUCAUAGUGAUCCGGUGGUUCUGAAUGGAAGGGCCAUCGCUCAACGGAUAAAAGGUACUCCGGGGAUAACAGGCUGAUACCGCCCAAGAGUUCAUAUCGACGGCGGUGUUUGGCACCUCGAUGUCGGCUCAUCACAUCCUGGGGCUGAAGUAGGUCCCAAGGGUAUGGCUGUUCGCCAUUUAAAGUGGUACGCGAGCUGGGUUUAGAACGUCGUGAGACAGUUCGGUCCCUAUCUGCCGUGGGCGUAGGAGAAUUGAUUGGGGCUGCUCCUAGUACGAGAGGACCGGAGUGGACGCACCACUGGUGUUCCGGUUGUGUCGCCAGACGCAUUGCCGGGUAGCUAAGUGCGGAAGAGAUAAGUGCUGAAAGCAUCUAAGCACGAAACUUGCCAAGAGAUGAGUUCUCCCAAUCUAAGAGAUUGUAAGGGUUGUUGUAGACUACGACGUAGAUAGGUUUGGUGUGUAAGUGUAGUGAUAUAUUGAGCUAACAGAUACUAAUUGCCCGAGAGGCUUAACUAU
rnacentral:rRNA from 1 species